rnacentral:rRNA from 1 species
AUUCCAGCUCCAAUAGCGUAUAUUAAAGUUGUUGCAGUUAAAAAGCUCGUAGUUGGAUUUCUGGCCGAGUGUCCCCAGGCCAGCAUGACGUUUGGUCCUGGGCGCUCUGCCAUCCUUCUGUCAACCUUCGCCUCGUUCAUUCGUGGCGCUGGGGCUCAGAUAUUUUACCUUGAGAAAAUUAGAGUGUUUCAGGCAGGCUUUCGCCGGAAUACAUUAGCAUGGAAUAAUGGAAAAGGACUUCAACCUCUUCUGUUGGUCUGAGAGGCUGUAGUAAUGAUUAAUAGGGACAGUCAGGGGCACUCGUAUUUCGCCGAGAGAGGUGAAAUUCUCAGACCAGCGGAAGACGAACCACUGCGAAAGCAUUUGCCAGGGAUGUUUUCAUUA